GACGAACGCUGGCGGCGCGCCUAACACAUGCAAGUCGAACGGAGCUGAGAGAAGCUUGCUUUUCUUAGCUUAGUGGCGAACGGGUGAGUAACGCGUGAGUAACCUGCCCUGGAGUGGGGGACAACAGUUGGAAACGACUGCUAAUACCGCAUAAGCCCACGAUCCGGCAUCGGCUUGAGGGAAAAGGAUUUAUUCGCUUCAGGAUGGACUCGCGUCCAAUUAGUUAGUUGGUGAGGUAAGGGCCCACCAAGGCGACGAUUGGUAGCCGGGCUGAGAGGUUGAACGGCGACAUUGGGGCUGAGACACGGCCCAGACUCCUACGGGAGGCAGCAGUGGGGGAUAUUGCACAAUGGGGGAAGCCCUGAUGCAGCGACGCCGCGUGGAGGAAGAAGGUGUUCGGAUUGUAAACUCCUGUCGUUAGGGACGAUAAUGACGGUACCUAACAAGAAAGCACCGGCUAACUACGUG
rnacentral:rRNA from 1 species